UGGACAUAUUAUUGUAUUCGACUGUAUUUACGGCGUGAAACAUGGGAUUACACUAUUUUUAAAUGGAAAGUUAAUCAAUUAACAUAAUAGACUCCU
rnacentral:pre_miRNA from 1 species